ensembl:snRNA U1 U1 spliceosomal RNA
AUACUUACCUGGCAGGGGAGAUACCAUGAUCACAAAGGUGGUUUUCCCAGGGCGAGGCUUAUCCAUUGCACUCCGGAUGUGCUGACCCCUGCGAUUUCCCCAAAUGUGGGAAACUUGACUGCAUAAUUUGUGGUAGUGGGGACUGCGUUCACGCUCUCCCCUG